GCUAUACAUGCAGUCGAGCGAACAGAUAAGGAGCUUGCUCCUUUGACGUUAGCGGCGGACGGGUGAGUAACACGUGGGUAACCUACCUAUAAGACUGGGAUAACUUCGGGAAACCGGAGCUAAUACCGGAUAACAUUUGGAACCGCAUGGUUCUAAAGUGAAAGAUGGUUUUGCUAUCACUUAUAGAUGGACCCGCGCCGUAUUAGCUAGUUGGUAAGGUAACGGCUUACCAAGGCGACGAUACGUAGCCGACCUGAGAGGGUGAUCGGCCACACUGGAACUGAGACACGGUCCAGACUCCUACGGGAGGCAGCAGUAGGGAAUCUUCCGCAAUGGGCGAAAGCCUGACGGAGCAACGCCGCGUGAGUGAUGAAGGGUUUCGGCUCGUAAAACUCUGUUAUUAGGGAAGAACAAACGUGUAAGUAACUGUGCACGUCUUGACGGUACCUAAUCAGAAAGCCACGGCUAACUACGUGCCAGCAGCCGCGGUAAUACGUAGGUGGCAAGCGUUAUCCGGAAUUAUUGGGCGUAAAGCGCGCGUAGGCGGUUUCUUAAGUCUGAUGUGAAAGCCCACGGCUCAACCGUGGAGGGUCAUUGGAAACUGGGAAACUUGAGUGCAGAAGAGGAAAGUGGAAUUCCAUGUGUAGCGGUGAAAUGCGCAGAGAUAUGGAGGAACACCAGUGGCGAAGGCGACUUUCUGGUCUGUAACUGACGCUGAUGUGCGAAAGCGUGGGGAUCAAACAGGAUUAGAUACCCUGGUAGUCCACGCCGUAAACGAUGAGUGCUAAGUGUUAGGGGGUUUCCGCCCCUUAGUGCUGCAGCUAACGCAUUAAGCACUCCGCCUGGGGAGUACGACCGCAAGGUUGAAACUCAAAGGAAUUGACGGGGACCCGCACAAGCGGUGGAGCAUGUGGUUUAAUUCGAAGCAACGCGAAGAACCUUACCAAAUCUUGACAUCCUUUGAAAACUCUAGAGAUAGAGCCUUCCCCUUCGGGGGACAAAGUGACAGGUGGUGCAUGGUUGUCGUCAGCUCGUGUCGUGAGAUGUUGGGUUAAGUCCCGCAACGAGCGCAACCCUUAAGCUUAGUUGCCAUCAUUAAGUUGGGCACUCUAGGUUGACUGCCGGUGACAAACCGGAGGAAGGUGGGGAUGACGUCAAAUCAUCAUGCCCCUUAUGAUUUGGGCUACACACGUGCUACAAUGGACAAUACAAAGGGCAGCUAAACCGCGAGGUCAUGCAAAUCCCAUAAAGUUGUUCUCAGUUCGGAUUGUAGUCUGCAACUCGACUACAUGAAGCUGGAAUCGCUAGUAAUCGUAGAUCAGCAUGCUACGGUGAAUACGUUCCCGGGUCUUGUACACACCGCCCGUCACACCACGAGAGUUUGUAACACCCGAAGCCGGUGGAGUAACCAUUUAUGGAGCUAGCCGUCGAA
rnacentral:rRNA from 1 species